rnacentral:rRNA from 1 species
UACGGGGGGGGUAAGCGUUGUUCGGAAUUACUGGGCGUAAAGGGCUCGUAGGCGGCCAACUAAGUCAUACGUGAAAUCCCUCAGCUUAACUGGGGAACUGCGUGUGAUACUGGAUGGCUUGGAUUUGGGAGAGGGAUGCGGAAUUCCAGGUGUAGCGGUGAAAUGCGUAGAUAUCUGGAGGAACACCGGUGGCGAAGGCGGCAUCCUGGACCAAUAUUGACGCUGAGGAGCGAAAGCUAGGGGAGCAAAGCGGG